rnacentral:rRNA from 1 species
CGGUCUGCUACCUCUUACCCAUGUCUUUUGAGUACCUUCGUUUCCUCGGCGGGUCCGCCCGCCGAUUGGACAACAUUCAAACCCUUUGCAGUUGCAAUCAGCGUCUGAAAAAACAUAAUAGUUACAACUUUCAACAACGGAUCUCUUGGUUCUGGCAUCGAUGAAGAACGCAGCGAAAUGCGAUAAGUAGUGUGAAUUGCAGAAUUCAGUGAAUCAUCGAAUCUUUGAACGCACAUUGCGCCCCUUGGUAUUCCAUGGGGCAUGCCUGUUCGAGCGUCAUUUGUACCUUCAAGCUCUGCUUGGUGUUGGGUGUUUUGUCUCGCCUCUGCGUGUAGACUCGCCUUAAAACAAUUGGCAGCCGGCGUAUUGAUUUCGGAGCGCAGUACAUCUCGCGCUUUGCACUCAUAACGGCGACGUCCAAAAGUACAUUUUUACACUCUUGACCUCGGAUCAGGUAGGGAUACCCGCUGAACUUAAGCAUAUCAU